ensembl:snRNA U6 U6 spliceosomal RNA
GUGCUUGCUUUGGCAGCACAUGCACUAAAAUUGGAACGAUACAGAGAAUAUUAGCAUGCCCCCUGCACAAAGAUGACAUGCAGAUUCAUGAAGCAUGCCAUGUUUUU